rnacentral:tRNA from 1 species
GGAGGCGAAUGGGGUCUGGUGGCUCCCGCGGUCUUCAAAACCGUUGUUUCGGCGCGGAAGCGUCGAAAGGUUGGUUCGAUUCCGACACGCCUCCGCCA